rnacentral:rRNA from 1 species
UAUUAUUUUUACUGUAAAAUAUUAAACUAGAGUACUAUUAGUUAUGAUCUUUAAACUUAAAGAAUUUGGCGGUAUUAUAGUCUAUUUAGAGGAAUCUGUUAUGUAAUCGAUAGUCCACGUUGAACCUUACUUAUGUUGUUUCUUGUAUAUCGCUGUUUAUGAAUAUACUCUUAGGUAAUUUUCUUAAUAUAAAAUUAAUUAAAAUUUCAAGUCAAGGUGCAGUUAUACGUAAGUUGAAUAAUGGAUUACAAUAAAUUUUAUUUAUAUGGAUUGUUAUUGAAAUAUAGUUUGAAGGUGGAUUUAAUAGUAAUUUUAUGAAGAUUAUUAAAAUGAUUG